rnacentral:rRNA from 1 species
GAUGAACGCUGGCGGCGUGCCUAAUACAUGCAAGUCGAGCGAAUGGAUUAAGAGCUUGCUCUUAUGAAGUUAGCGGCGGAUGGGUGAGUAACACGUGGGUAACCUGCCCAUAAGACUGGGAUAACUCCGGGAAACCGGGGCUAAUACCGGAUAACAUUUUGAACCGCAUGGUUCGAAAUUGAAAGGCGGCUUCGGCUGUCACUUAUGGAUGGACCCGCGUCGCAUUAGCUAGUUGGUGAGGUAACGGCUCACCAAGGCAACGAUGCGUAGCCGACCUGAGAGGGUGAUCGGCCACACUGGGACUGAAACACGGCCCAGACUCCUACGGGAGGCAGCAGUAGGGAAUCUUCCGCAAUGGACGAAAGUCUGACGGAGCAACGCCGCGUGAGUGAUGAAGGCUUUCGGGUCGUAAAACUCUGUUGUUAGGGAAGAACAAGUGCUAGUUGAAUAAGCUGGCACCUUGACGGUACCUAACCAGAAAGCCACGGCUAACUACGUGCCAGCAGCCGCAGUAA